UACGUAGACCUCGAGCGUUAUUCGGAUUUAUUGGGCGUAUAGAGCAUGUAGGUGGUUUUGUGCGUCUUCUGUUAAAGCUCAGGGCCUAACCCUGGAAGUGCAGGAGAUACGACAAGACUAGAGGAGGUUAGAGGUGCAUGGAACUCACGGUGUAGGGGUGAAAUCCGUUGAUAUCGUGGGGAACACCAAAGGCGAAGGCAGUGCACUGGGACCUUCCUGUCACUGAGCUGCGAAAGUGUGGGGAGCAAAAAGG
rnacentral:rRNA from 1 species